CCUACGGGAGGCAGCAGUGAGGAAUAUUGGUCAAUGGACGAGAGUCUGAACCAGCCAAGCCGCGUGAAGGAUGACUGCCCUAUGGGUUGUAAACUUCUUUUAUAUGGGAAUAAAACAGGGUAUGCAUACCCUCUUGUAUGUACCAUACGAAUAAGGAUCGGCUAACUCCGUGCCAGCAGCCGCGGUAAUACGGAGGAUCCGAGCGUUAUCCGGAUUUAUUGGGUUUAAAGGGAGCGUAGGUGGAUUGUUAAGUUAGUUGUGAAAGUUUGCGGCUCAACCGGAAAAUUGCAGUUGAUACUGGCAGUCUUGAGUACAGUAGAGGUGGGCGGAAUUCAUGGUGUAGCGGUGAAAUGCUUAGAUAUCACGAAGAACUCCGAUUGCGAAGGCAGCUCACUGGACUGCAACUGACACUGAUGCUCGAAAGUGUGGGUAGCAAACAGGAUUAGAUACCCGGGUAGUC
rnacentral:rRNA from 1 species